rnacentral:rRNA from 1 species
AGCUCAGAUUUGAAAUCGUGCUUUGCGGCACGAGUUGUAGAUUGCAGGUUGGAGUCUGUGUGGAAGGCGGUGUCCAAGUCCCUUGGAACAGGGCGCCCAGGAGGGUGAGAGCCCCGUGGGAUGCCGGCGGAAGCAGUGAGGCCCUUCUGACGAGUCGAGUUGUUUGGGAAUGCAGCUCCAAGCGGGUGGUAAAUUCCAUCUAAGGCUAAAUACUGGCGAGAGACCGAUAGCGAACAAGUACUGUGAAGGAAAGAUGAAAAGCACUUUGAAAAGAGAGUGAAACAGCACGUGAAAUUGUUGAAAGGGAAGGGUAUUGCGCCCGACAUGGGGAUUGCGCACCGCUGCCUCUCGUGGGCGGCGCUCUGGGCUUUCCCUGGGCCAGCAUCGGUUCUUGCUGCAGGAGAAGGGGUUCUGGAACGUGGCUCUUCGGAGUGUUAUAGCCAGGGCCAGAUGCUGCGUGCGGG